UACAGAGGUCCCGAGCGUUGUUCGGAUUCACUGGGCGUAAAGGGUGCGUAGGUGGUGAGGUAAGUCGGAUGUGAAAGCUCGGAGCUCAACUCCGAAAUGGCAUUGGAAACUACCUUGCUAGAGGGUUGGAGGGGGGACUGGAAUUCCUGGUGUAGCGGUGAAAUGCGCAGAUAUCAGGAGGAACACCAAUGGCGAAGGCAGCUCGCUGGGACGUGACUGACGCUGAGACGCGAAAGCGUGGGGAGCAAACAGG
rnacentral:rRNA from 1 species